UAGUGACUUUCACUGACACAUUUCUUAUAUUUUUAGCAGCAGUCGAACUAGUUUGCACCUUUGAAGUCGUAGGAUGUGCAAAAAGAAAGUAGUUGACAAUAGAGAAAAAUCCAGCUAACAGGUCCUCAUCAUAAUGCACUGAGAGGUCAGUGCAUCAUUAACAAAGCAGCAGUCACAGGCAACAAAGGGAAGAAGGAAGCGGGACAGAAUGACCUUUCUUUGUUCCAUUUCCAGGAAGUGACCCUAAGGCCCCAAGAGUACCACCUUGGCCAGUAUAUGAGGCCCUUGGCCCCCAAAGGGCCUACUGCAGCAACUCUGAUGAACUAUUCCCAGUACCAGGCAAUCAAAGCUGACCUCGAGGGUCACAAAUAGAGCACAUGGCAGCAAAUCACCUGAGAAGUUUCCAUUGUAACAGUGAUCAGAAAGCUUUUUGUUUAGUCCCUUAACCCCCCCCCAGUUCCCGGUUACAGCUUUUCCACUCAACCACAUUUUAUUAGUCUCGUUUCAUUGUGGGGAGUGUUUAUGAGUAGUGCUUGAGGAGCUGCUUCCUCAGGUUAAGACAGCGUUCUAUCCUUAAUUUUGCAGAAAAUGGUAAAGUCUUUCAAAAAACUGGCAGGGAAACCCAUCAUUCUUUAUACUGCCGGAUAACACCACCUUAUUCUAAACGUAGCAGUUAAAAAAUAAAUACAUUUUUAAAGAACUUAAAAUGAAAUCGGUUCAGUGUUCAGGAAUGAGGUUUUGCUUUUACUAGGUGUAACACUGUGUGCAAGCUGUAGACAGGAAGUAACAUGUGGCCUGCUCUCGCUUCUAUAUAUACACACACAUAUAUUUGAUACAUGCAUCUGUUUUCGUAGAGAGAGAGAAAGAUUCUGUAUGCGAAAGAUGCGAAGCAGGAAGUAAUACUGCUUUUCUCUAACCAUUGCAGGUGAAGUGAGUGGAGAGAAAGGGGGGUAGGGGUUAAGAUAGAGAAUGUAAGUAAACACUGAAGUAAAGUCUCUUGGAAGAUACUUCAAAUGUGCUGGAGGACUACCCCUCUAAAAACAGCCAUUUACUUGUACUGUAAACAUGGAAGUCAGACUCACACAGCUGGAUAGCAAAUUCAAAUGUUUAUUUACAGCCUUUGUAAUAGUCACUGAGAAGAGUGGUCUAAAUACAAAAAUAACAGGAAAAAAAACCAAGAGAAAGAUGGCGGCUUAUCUCCCUGAGCUUUACAAAAAACAAUGUGGGACCUGCAGGUGACAGGAGAGAGAGAUGUUCUGUACACAGCCCUAAUGCCACAAAAAUGAGAAAAUACAAAGACAAUAUCUCAGACAUGCUUCUACAACAGUUAGAAACGGACCCCACAAACAGCAAGUCAUGAUGACCGAGUGGAGAAGAACACAGAAACACUAUAGGCAAAUAAACGGACACAUUACUACCAGAGAACCAGUAACAAUAUUAACAGCUUUUGGCAAACAUCAGGAGUUCCAAGAACGACGUGAACAAAGAUUACGUCUGCAAACUGUGUCCCACAGUGUGAAUUCUCUACAACCUGUACUUCAUGGUGUUGCUUCAAAAGUAUGGCUGUUUAAAAAAAACAAAACAAAAGAGGAAGACUGGGAAAGACAAUCCAAUGUGUACAGCUCAGAGUGAAUCUCAGACUUUGUCUUUCUAAAAAGUUACAAAGAAAUCAAGAAAAAAGACGAUCAGUGCACUACAAGGCCUCGGGGGUUGGCUCACUAGGAACAAGUAUUUACAUAUCCUUCAUUGGGUCUGUACAUUGCUUUAUUAAGUGCUUUUCAAAAUUUAACAUUUCCCAUCCUUAUUCAGCUUUUCGCUUUGAACAGCAGCCUGUCUGUGACACUUUUUGUUCUCAGUCAUACCGUUUUGCUGCAUCAUCAAAAUACUGUCCAUCAUAAGGCUUUCAGGAGGCCAGUGUCACGAGGGGGAUCAUAGCAUAACUUGACUUUGGUACAUAACGGGUAAAAAUGAACUCGUUCCACAUAUAUUUAUCAUGCAUACCAUUUUUCACCUCUUUGAUUUUCACAACACUUCUAUUUUUUUCCCCUUUAUUUAUUUUUUUAAAUGCGAGUGGCUGACAGUGAAGGACAAAAAACCCCUAAAACAUUCCCAACAACAUUUUGCACAAAACCCAUUCAACAGACAAGUCACAAAGUUUCAGCUUCUCCAGAACAGACAAGUCUACAGCAGUGGCAAUUACAAUAAUAACAUAGCAAACCAGAUUCUGAACACAAACAUGGA